UUUGUAUGAAAUGGAUUUGACGCUUUUUUUGGAAAUUUCCAUUAAAACCGCACACCAAAGGCGAAAUUGAUUAGGGCCAGAUGGUUGCGGCGUUUUUGUGCAGAAAAUCUAUAAUUAUGUGGCUGGUAAACUAACCUGACAUGGGCACGAGCCCCAGGUAUAUUUAUCUUAAAUUAGAAACACCCCCGGUAGUUCCGAUGGCGCUUUGAUAAUCCCAUCUCAUUUUCGGCUGUUUUAUGGGCGUGGCACCUUUAAUUAGAUUGAUGAUUUUUUGGAAUUUAAUGGGAAAUUCCCGAAUUACUCGAAUCCAGACCUGCAGUUUGGUGAACAAAUGCCCCAACAAUGCAAACUGAUUGAUAAUCCUUCAAGUAAAUGGGCCGGCCAGUUGCCAUUACUAUUUUCUCCCUUGCCCUUGACCAACGGUCAGUAUGGGAUGAAUCAUUCCAGGAUUUCUCCCAGAAUUAAAUGCCUAUGACUAAUCCUGCAUGUUGUUUUUUUGUACUAUAAUGUUGCCGGUUUUUGUACAAUUAGGUAAAAAGCCAAACUCCGCCUGGUCGGCAUGGCAACGGCGACUGUUUGUUUGUAUUCCAGAAAGUUUUUGUGUGUAUUGUCCAGUCAAUCAUCUAGAAAAAUGGGUUUUUUUGCAAAAACUGGCUGCUAAUUGUGUGUUGGUAUUCGUGUUUUUGAGCUGCUUAAAACUCUCGGUAGUUCUUAUAUGGUGAACGUGUAAACUUGCCUUGUUAACUGCAGGAUUGACCAAUUUGAAUGGAUAAAUAGAAUAAAUUCGAUUAUGGCCGUCACGAGUUUGGUUUCCCGAUCAAACUCUCAGUCAAAAUACAUCAUUUCAACGAAAUCCCAUAAUAGCACGCGAUUCGAACAACCAUCAGGGGUGUUUUUUGACCCUCACCAUCAAGGGUUCGGGCCAAGAUGGGAAUAAUGAAUGAAACUAUCGUGAGCCGGAAACCGAGGGGAUCAACGGAAAGUAUCAGGUUUGCAUUUUUUUCCUUCAUUUGGUACACGAGGUUUUUUCAUGCGAUUUUAAGCGCGUGUGCCCUGGUCGAGGAGGGUGUUUUUUACGAUUUUAGGGUGUUUUUUUCACGUUCACUGCAAACAAGUGCUGUACAGGUGCAUGUUGGCUCCUGGAGAGAUUUAGUUCUACGAAAAUCAUCCAGUGACAGUGACCUUGAAUGCACAAAAAAUUAAUGAUGCCAACUUAUGAACGCACAACAGAGUUAACUGUUCAUUGCCGGAUUGAAUAAGCCCCAGACAGCCGAAGAAUACGCAUUUUUGCCGAUGCACUACCGAGAGAUUGACAUGGGAUAACAGUUGCAUAGGGAUUUGGCAUGGGUAUAAUAAGCGUUAAGAAGGAUUUUUUCAUGGAAAUUUGCGAAAAAGUGUAGGUAGCCAAACUGCAGGGAUCACCCUUUUCCAUUAAUCAUGCGAUUCACUGCAGAUUUUCAGCAAAGUGUCUUGGGCCUAUUGUUACCGGAAAUUGUUAAGCUUCUUGACCUUGGCCCAUCAAAAGAAAUAUCUGGUUUUAAAUGCCAAAAUCUUUCUAAUUUA